rnacentral:rRNA from 1 species
UACGAAGGGGGCUAGCGUUGCUCGGAAUCACUGGGCGUAAAGCGCACGUAGGCGGCUUUCUAAGUCAGGGGUGAAAUCCCGGAGCUCAACUCCGGAACUGGCCUUUGAUACUGGAAGCUUGAGUCCGGGAGAGGUGAGUGGAACUGCGAGUGUAGAGGUGAAAUUCGGUAGAUAUUCGCAAGAACACCAGUGGCGAAGGCGGCUCACUGGACCCGGUGAC